rnacentral:rRNA from 1 species
UACGUAGGGAGCGAGCGUUGUCCGGAAUUACUGGGUGUAAAGGGAGCGUAGGCGGGCGAGAAGGUUGAAUGUUAAAUCUACCGGCUUAACUGGUAGCUGCGUUCAAAACUUCUUGUCUUGAGUGAAGUAGAGGCAGGCGGAAUUCCUAGUGUAGCGGUGAAAUGCGUAGAUAUUAGGAGGAACACCAGUGGCGAAGGCGGCCUACUGGACGGUGACUGACGCUGAGGCUCGAAAGCGUGGGGAGCAAACAGG